rnacentral:rRNA from 1 species
ACUCCUACGGGAGGCAGCAGUGGGGAAUAUUGGGCAAUGGACGCAAGUCUGACCCAGCGACGCCGCGUGAGGGAUGAAGGCCUUCGGGUUGUAAACCUCUUUCAGUGGGGAAGAAGCGAAAGUGACGGUACCCAAAGAAGAAGCACCGGCUAACUAUGUGCCAGCAGCCGCGGUAAUAC